UUGAUAUCCUUUUUUACAUCCUUUUGAUUAAUCCUUAAUUAUUAACAAUUUUAUUCUAAUUUUAACGUAACAAAUGUCUUAAAAUUUUUUUUUAAGCGGUGCUGUGUAUAGAUCUAGCAGAAUUUUUCAGAUAGAUAUGCAUAGAGAAUCAAAGUGAAUAUAUUUGUCCUGAUGUUGUAAAUAUAUCCGCGCAACUUGGCGGAAAAUUUAACCGCCACGUCAUUCGAAGUUGCGUUUCGAGAAAACUCGCGCGCGCGCGCGGCAAAGAGGGAGUGCGACGAACGCUGUAAAAACGUCGCGUUGCGGCUCGUGAAAAAGGGUGGCCAAGGGGGACGUGGGGAAAGAAAUUACAUAAGACGAGCGCGUUGGGACGACGAGAAUUGCAGCACGCCUUUUUGGCAGGAAGAAACGGUUUUCAUUCCGUCUAAUGAGCACGUUCGUCUUUCGUGUGUUAUCGAUGAGUUUUUCCCUAUGCAGGAGUGUACAUAAAUUUAUCAAAUGAUCCAAACGAUGGAAUUAACGAUGCACUAAUAUUUCGUACGUUAGUGGUCAACUCGUAGCCUUGUACUCUAGAAGCGCUAUGUACAUUGCAUACAGACUGUUUGGAAGAGCGGAAAGAGGAAGGCGAUGCAUCGUCACGUAAUGCAAGCAUUAUGCAAUCUCGACCACUUAACAACAGCUGAUCACAUUUUUAGCUUGCAUAAUUUUUCACAGCUACCAUGUAUAAAGAACAAGAUUG